rnacentral:lncRNA from 1 species
GAUUUCAAUAAGAGAGAAUUUUAUUUUCUUCUAGAUAUGUUAAAAAUCUCACCGAAAAGGCAUUCUCCUUGUUGGGUAUAAAAUAUCCACAGCCGAAAUCCUCGACGGAAUCGACUUCGAGGAGCCGGGCUCCACCAUCGACAGUAGAACGGCUCCGCCCGGACUCCUACGGGAGCCGGGCUCCGCCAUCGACAGCAACACAGCUCCGCCCGGACUCCUACGGGAGCCGGGCUCCGCUAUCGACAGCAACACAACUCCGCCC